rnacentral:rRNA from 1 species
ACUCCUACGGGAGGCAGCAGUGGGAAUAUUGCACAAUGGGGGAAACCCUGAUGCAGCCAUGCCGCGUGUGUGAAGAAGGCCUUCGGGUUGUAAAGCACUUUCAGUAGGGAGGAAGGUAGUGUAGUUAACACCUGCACUAUUUGACUGUUACCUUACAGAAGAAGCACCGGCUAACUCCGUGCCAGCAGCCGCGGUAAUACGGAGGGUGCGAGCG